rnacentral:misc_RNA from 1 species
UUUCCGCAGGUGAACCUGCGGAAGGAUCAUCACUGAGUGAGGGCCCCUCGGGGUCCAACCUCCCACCCGUGUUUAACGAACCUUGUUGCUUCGGCGGGCCCGCCUCACGGCCGCCGGGGGGCAUCUGCCCCCGGGCCCGCGCCCGCCGAAGCCACCUGUGAACGCUGUCUGAAGUAUGCAGUCUGAGACAAUUAUUAAAUUAAUUAAAACUUUCAACAACGGAUCUCUUGGUUCCG